UGGGGAAUUUUGGACAAUGGGGCAAGCCCUGAUCCAGCAUGCCGCGUGCGGAAGAAGGCCUCGGGUUGUAAACCGCUUUUGUCCGGAAAGAAAGGCAUUUCCCUAAUAACGGAGCUGCUCUUGACGGUACCGGAAGAAUAAGCACCGGCUAACUACGUGCCAGCAGCCGCGGUAAUACGUAGGGUGCGAGCGUUAAUCGGAAUUACUGGGCGUAAAGCGUGCGCAGGCGGUUUUGUAAGUCUGACGUGAAAUCCCCGGGCUCAACCUGGGAAUUGCGUUGGAGACUGCAAGGCUGGAGUCUGGCAGAGGGGGGUUAGAAUUCCACGUGUAGCAGUGAAAUGCGUAGAGAUGUGGAGGAACACCGAUGGCGAAGGGCAGCCCCUUGGGUCAAGACUGACGCUCAUGCACGAAAGCGUGGGGAGCAAACA
rnacentral:rRNA from 1 species